UCGAAUGUUCAAGAUUUCUUUGCAUAAGCAAAUAUCAUAAGAUCGACCGUGCAAGUCGAAACAACAUAUUUUACAAGUAUGAUUAAUAUAAAAAUCAAUGAACAAACUAUAUCUAAAACUAAAAGACAGAGUUGACAACACAUUUUAUAAUUUAAUAGAAAACUAUCAGAAAUCAAAACAUGUUGGUAUCGACAUAAGUUAGGUGCACACUUUGAAAAAAAGAUUAUAUCGAAAAUUCCUAGUUAUCAGAAUCUCUCAAUCCAUUCAAAUUUUCAUUUCAACUUUUGAAAAAACAUCAAAUUCGAAAUUUUUGUGUAGAGAUUCAAAAAAAUUUAUUGUCAAAAAUUAAAAUCUCAUUCCGACUUGGACCCCUAGUU
rnacentral:lncRNA from 1 species